UGAUGGUGGUGUGGACAAUCUCUGAGAAGAACCUUGAACCUCUCCCACACUUGAUACAGAUUUUCUCCUUCUUUCUGCCUGAAUGACAUAAUCUCCAUUCUGAGUCU